UUCCAGGAAACUGUUCAUCUAGCAAUGCUCGGACCAGACACCUAUAAUGUGGUGGUGCACCAUCUUGCUGGAAAAACUCAGGGAACAUGCCAGCUUCAGUGCAUAAAGAGGGAAAGACAUCAUCAUUAUGUGAAGAGUGGAAGAAGAGG